rnacentral:rRNA from 1 species
AUGGGCUCUGGCGGCAGCACAAGGAGCAGGACCUCGUCGGCGUGCUUCUUGCCGCACGCCCAGCCUCGGCGCCGGAGGGGCGGGGCGGGGUCGGGCUCCUCGAUGCGGCAGGCGGCGCUGGCACUGGAGGUGACGCUGUUCCCGCUGCUCGCCGGCGUAGCCGCUGCUGCUGAGGCUGGGCGGACCGGCGUCGCCGUAGCCGUCCUCCUCCUCCUCGAGCCGUGCUGCUCCCGCCUCUGGACGCGGCUGUCACGUACCCCUCGUACUCGUCCUCCCCGGCGAUCUCGUGUCCGGCGGCGGCGAACUCCGCGGGCAGGUCAGCGGCGCCGAGGGAGAGCGUGGCCAGGGCCUCGCUGGCGGGGGCCGGAUCGGGGGCCAGGGCCUCGCUCCAGUUCUUCCCGAUGA